rnacentral:rRNA from 1 species
ACGCUCGACACCUACGGGAGGCAGCAGGUUGGGAAUAUUGGACAAUGGAGGAAACUCUGAUCCAGUGACGCCGCGUGAAGGAAGAAGGUCUUCGGAUUGUAAACUUAUUUUGUCAGGGAAGAAAAAUGACUGUACCUGAAGAAAAAGCACCGGCUAACUACGUGCCAACAGCCGCGGUAAUCUGAGCGGGCUGGCAAGGC